rnacentral:tRNA from 1 species
GGUAUGGAUAGAAUGGCUGAAUAUAAGUAUUAGACUGUAAAUCUAAAUAUAAAGGUUAAAAAUCCUUUUUCUAUCA